UCCCCGGUAGCUCAGUUGGCAGAGCGGGUGACUGUUAAUCACCAUGUCGCUGGUUCGAGUCCGGCCCGGGGAGCCA
rnacentral:tRNA from 1 species